ensembl:lncRNA
UCCUCACACUUUCUUUGCUGGUCACGGGUCUGGCCGCAGAUGCUUGCCGCAGACGCUUGCCGCAGCGUGUCACCCUGACUGGCGUGGGGAGCCUCCGCUUGAACGCGUGCUCUGAGGCACAGUGGGACUUGAAACAUGUGUAACCCACAGGGAGCAAAUCGAUGACCCCAAAUGUGGGGUUAAUGUAAUGUUCAGACAAGGCUCUGCAACACUGAGGGAUUGAUUUGCACACCCAUUGGCAUAGCCUCAUUGGGAAAAGGCUGAGAUUACAGCCCAGGGUACAACAUAUACCUCAGGGAGCAGUGUUGAUGGCUCUUCCAUUCUGAGAGGGAAAGCUGUUCUUCCAGGUCUGAUUACAUUUCUGUCACUGUAGGAGCUCUACCCGACUGGCAAGAGGAGGAGGGCCUAGGUCCACACGCUAGGUGGCUGCUGUCCAGGCGCCUGGCGUUUUGACUCUGUUCCUGUGGAUUGCUGCUUGUCCUGACGUUCCAGAGAGGCUCCUGUUCCUGAAACAGCGGUUUUGGAACUUCCUCUACGUGGAAUUUGUGGGGCCUUGGAAGACCCCGCUCACACCCGAAACCUCUGCCUGGAUUGGUUGCAGCCCGGGCCGCGCGCCGAGGAGGAGAUCAUUGCGCUCUCGGUCCUCGAGCAGAACUGACGGUCCUCCCAGAGCCGGUCGAGCCCCGGGCGCCGGCGAGGAGGCCGGGGGACUGCGAGGCGCUCGUCAGCCUGCGGGAGUGGCACGCAGAGAUGUACGAGCCCGAAGACGAUAGCAGCAGUGACAGCCACAGUGAGAGCAGCAUGAGCCGCAGGGCCGCAGAGUCGCCGCCGCGCUCCGCCCACUCCUUCUCCAGGGACCGGGACCGGGACUGGGACCAGGACUGGGACCGGGACCGAGACCGGGACUGGGACCGAGACUGGGAGCGAGACGGAGAGCGGAACCAGGACCACCGGAGGGGCAGGAGCCGGGACCUGGAGGCCCGUGACCGCUGGCCGUACGCCAGGACCCCCAGAAGCAGAUUUCCUCAGCGGGACCUUUCCCUUCCCCUGAUGGAGAGAAAGGCGUUUGCGAAGGGAAGGGAGCACAAACACAGAGACUCCGCGGUGGGCUACGAGGCGAGGUCCCAGGACACAGUGUCGUACCAGGACAUGGGGGACCUCGCCGAGGACCGGAAGCUGCAGAACCCGAUUCAGGACAACAUGGAGAACUACCGGAAGCUGCUCUCGCUGGGGGUUCAGCUUGCUGAAGACGAUGGCCACUCGCACAUGACCCAGGGCCACUCGUCGAGGUCAAGGAGAAGCGCCUACCCGAGCACCAGCCGAGGUCUGAAGACGCUGCCCGAAACCAAAAAGCCGGCGCAUCGGCGCGGGAUCUGUGAGGACGAGUCCUCGCACGGGGUGAUCAUGGAGAAGUUCAUCAAAGACGUGGCGCGCAGCUCCAGGUCGGGAAGGGCCAGGGAGCCCAGCGAUCGGCCGCAGAGGCUCCCCCGCAGGCCGGACGGUGGCUGGAAGGAGGUGUCGGUUAGCAAGAGGGAGGCGGUGAUCCAGGAGCGGGCUUGCGAGGGCGGGGCCCUGGGGGGAGGGGGCUUUCCGUGUAACGCAAGCCUGGUUUCCAAGAAGAGAGUUCUCGAAAGAAAGCGGCGCUAUCCCUUUGACGCGGACGGGAAGGGCUCCGUGCACGAUCAGAGGGGCUGUGCGAGGAAGCGGCCCUUCGAGUGCGGUGAGGUGAGAAAGGCCGCGAGCGUGAGCAGCCUCAGCGCGCCGCCCCUGCCGGGCUCGCCGCCGCUGGUCCUCGGGGCGAUGCCCUACGUGUGUGACGAGUGCGGGCGGUCCUUCGGCGUGAUUUCCGAGUUUGUCGAGCAUCAGAUCAUGCACACCAGGGAGAGCCUGUACGAGUACGGCGAGUCCUUCAUCCACAGCGUGGCCAUCAGCGAGGUGCAGAGAAGCCAGGCGGGCGGGAAGCGCUUCGAGUGCAAGGAGUGCGGUGAAACCUUCAACCGGAGCGCUGCUCUGGCCGAGCACCGCAAGACCCACGCUCGGGAGAAUCUGGCUGAGGGUCAGGCCGAGGUGUGCGAGGAGCCCUUCCUGCCCAGCCCGACCUUCAGCGAGCUCCAGAAGAUCUACGGGAAGGAGAAGUUCUACGAGUGCAAGGUGUGCAAGGAAACCUUCCUCCACAGCUCGGCGCUGGUGGACCACCAGAAGACCCACGGCCGGGAGGCCCGAGCCGGCGAGCGGGCGGAUGCCUUUCAGCCCAGCCCGGCGCCCAAAGAGCUGCCCCGGCUGUACGGCCGAGAGAAGCUGUACGAGUGCAGGGUGUGUGGCGAGACCUUCCACCACAGCGCCGCCCUGAGGGAGCACCAGCAGGUCCACGCCCGGGGCCACCCGCCGGAAAGCCGGGGCAGAGCCUGCGAGGAGACCUUCGUGCCCGGCCAGUCCCUGAGGAGACGCCAGAAGACGUACCCGAAAGAGAAGCUCUACGACUUUGCAGCCGCCGGGGAGGCCUUCAGGCAGGGCUCCCACCUCCUCGAGCCGCAGAAGAUCCGCUCUCGGAGGGAGCUCUUCGAAGGCCGGGGGUACGACAAGUCUGCCGUGCACGGCGUGUCCUUCCCCGAGUCGCAGAAGAGUCACACCAUAGCCAGACCCCCCGAGAACGAGGAGGACGAGAGGGCCUUCACCGUCAGCUGCAGCCCCGCCAGCAGCCGGGAGGCCGCGGCCGGCGAGAGGUCUGUUCUUCGCAGCUCGGCCUUUGCCGCGGCUCAGAGAAGCCACAGCGCCGCGGGGCCCAGCAGGCCGCGGGGCUUCGCGGAGUCGACUGUCCACAGCUCAGGGGUCAUCUCGCGGCGGCAGGUGCCGGCUGGAGAGAGCAGCUUGGAGAGGAGGAGGCUCGAGAGCUCCGUCAUCCACAGCCUGGCUGCGCUCAAGCCUCCCAGAGGUCGCGGGGGCAGGGAGCUGCUCGGAGGCGGCGAGAAGGGGGCGCCCUCCACCUACCUCGCGGGCCUGCGUGAGCAGCAGAGAGCUCCCGCCAGGGAGGGCCCUCACGAGGGCGGCGCGGAGGACAUCUCCCAGGGCUCCGGUGCCCGCAGCGCGUCCCAGGCCGAAGCACAGCCUUCCGGAGAGGGUCCCAGCGGUGUCAAGACGGCCGGCGAGGCCUCUGUUCCCGGCUCCGGCGUGCGCGAGCACCAGAAGGCUCGCGCCAAGAAGAAGAACAUUGAGCACAGGAACUACGACGCCUCCGUGACCCACUCCCUGCGCUUUGGUCAGCCUCUCACGUUUCGCCCUAGAGAGAAAUUUUAUGAAUGUCCAGAGUGUGGCGAGUCCUUUGCGCGUAGCUCCGACCUCACGGAGCAUCAGAAGAUUCACGACAGAAAGAAGCCCUCUGGAGGGAAAAACUACAUUCGGUCUGUCAUCCGCAGCUUAGCUUCUGCUGACCCUCAGACCAGUUACGCAGGCUGGGCAGCUCAGGCCAGUUUCGCUGAGCCGCAGCCUCAGACCAGUUACGCCGAGCCUCAGCCUCAGACCAGUUACGCCGAAGCCCCAGCUCAGACCAGGUUCGCUGAGCCGCCCGUGCGCAGCGAGUGUAAGGAGUGUGGGGAGUACUUCGCCACCCUUGAGGACCUGGGUGCCCAUCAGAAAAUCUAUGCCCGAGAGAAGCUCCACGUGGGGAAGCUGUUCGGCGGCUCCGUUGUGCAGAGCGCAGGCGGCGCGGGGCCGCAGCAGGACGAGCUGGACGAGCUGGACGAGGCCGAAGACUCCAUCUACGGCUGCAAGGACUGCGGGCUGGGCUUCGCGGACCGCGCAGACCUGAGGGACCACCAGAAGGUGCACGGCCGCGAGUACCUCAUCGACAGCCGCGACGUGCGGCGAGUCCUUCCGCAGCCAGGCCGAUCUCCGCGAGCACAUGCGCACCCACGAGAAGGAGGAGCCCUACGACUACGGGGCCACCUUCGUGCACACGUCCUUCCUCACGGAGCCCCCCAAGAGGGACUCGCCCUUCUACGAGUGCAAGGACUGUGGCAAGUCGUUCAUCCACAACACGGUCCUCACCAAGCACCAGAAGCUCCACCUUGAGGAGGAGGAGGCGGCCGCCGCCGCGGCCCAGGAAGUGGAAGCCAACGUCCUGGUCCCGCGGGAGGUUUUGCGCAUCCAGGGCUCCAACGUGGAGGCCGCGGAGCCCGAGGUAGAGGCCGCCGAGCCGGAGGUGGAGGCCGCCGAGCCGAACGUGGAGGCCGCCGAGCCCAACGGGGAGGCCGAGGGGCCUGAGGGCGAGGCCGCGGAGCCCAACGGCGAGGCCGAGCAGCCCAACGCGGAGGCGGAGCAGCCCAACGGCGACGCCGACGAGCCGGAUGGUGCGGGCAUCGAAGACCCGGAGGAGAGGGCGGAAGAGCCCGAGGCAGACGCGGACGAGCCAGACGGCCUCGGGGUGGAGGACCCGGAGGAGGAGGGCGAGGACCAGGAGAUCCAGGUGGAGGCACCCUACUACGGCUGCGGGGAGUGUGCGGAGACCUUCACCUCCAGCUCGGCCAACGGCGAGCACCUGAAGAGCCACGCCAGGGUGAUGACCUUCGAGCCCGGCAGCGUCUGCGGGGAGAACUCCCAUCCCACCGAGCACGCCAGCACCAGCGGCAGCGGCAGGGCCGACGACAAGUACUUCAAGUGCGACGUCUGCGGCCAGGUCUUCAGCGACCGCCUGUCCCUGGCCAGGCACCAGAACACCCACACGGGUUGAGGGCGCAGGGGUCGAGGUUGGAGGCCCUUCAUUCAGGACCGGACCCUUCCUAGACCGCAGAGAACUGGAACCCACCCCCCGUGAUGGCAGAAGGAAACCCCUAGGCCUGUACACAUCUGACUUUGUGAAUCCGACGGCUUGGCCUGGCCGGGAGCGGGAGGUACAGGCCCCUUCGGUCCCAGCGCUUCCCCGUCCAAUGGCGCCUGCGCGCGGGGGAGCCCAGCGCACACCUCCCUUCCCCUGUCCUCCCACGAUGGAAAGCACCAGGGGGUUCCGAGGCUACAGGAACUGCCCCAUCACCUGUAAAUGACCCUCUCGUCACCUAGAGGUCGUAAUUCCUGAGGUGUAUGUAAAAUAGCACAUCAUAGCCGACAGGAUCGCAUGUAUUUGGAUUCACUGUGGUACCGGUAAUGGCUCACAUGCAGAGGUACCUUGCCCGGUACUCUUGGAAUUGUUGUUUUUUUUUUUUUCUGGAGGAGGAAGAGAGCAACAAAUUAGAAUAUAUUUGUACGCAUCUUAGAUCCUUAGAAAGAUUUAUCGUGCGUUUAUGACCCUCCCCCGCCCCCGUCAGUAUCGUUUUGAGUGAUUGUGUUGUGCCUCACUGCUAACUAUUCCUCUGAAGGUGUAGCCAUGAAAGAUAAGCCAUCUUUCGUGCUUUGCUGUCUGAAAAGGAAGUGCUUGAAGCUUCCUUUCCAGCCGUUCCGUCUACACCGACGCCUUGGAACCUAACCCUGUGUAUACGCCUUUGCAGUGUGUGGAUUGGCCUUUUGUGACCCCAGAUUUAGUGGUUGCCACACCUUGUCGCCUGCAGUGGUUCUCGUGCAAAAAUAUUACAAGUUUUUUUUUUUUUUUUGAAACCAGCUUGGUGUGUGUUUGAGAGUGAAUUCACAAAAGCCGAAGCUUUUCCCUGUAAAUCUUACGUCUUUGCCUUUAAAGAGUGGGUUGCAACCAUCACUAGAUCACGAGUGUGCCUGAUGAAGGUUGAGAACCACAGGGGAGGCUCCCACCUUGUAAAUAAGGACGCAGGCGCCGAUUCCGUCACUUCCUUUGUGCGCUUCCUGCCUUAAGUGACAAGUAGCAACGUGGCUCCGUCCGUCCGUCUGUGUUGCCACAAGUCUGUUUGCACCCUGGGCGCCCAGGAGCUAGUAUCCUUAGAGCUUUGUACCGUGAAACUCCAUUCUCGUCUUCACCUCAACCCUGACCCUCGACCCUGUGUCUAACUUAUAUUUAAAAAAAAAAAAAGAAGAAGAAGUUCUUGACAGCCAACUCGAGCUUCACAUGGACUCAGGUUCCCCAGCAGCCUUAAUUUGUUCUGUUGCCGCCGGGCCCUUCCUCCCAGCUGUCCUCUUGUCUGUCUGGUGGCCUCAGUUUCCCCUGUGAUCACAAGCUGACCUCGUGGCUCGCGGUUUCCUGGGUCGUGCUCUGUGGGCCUCCCCUGCUCCUUUUGCUUCCCCGUCCCUCACAUAAUGACUAUUUAAGAAGUUUUUUGGCUUUGAGUUGGCUGGAAAAAAAAUUUAAAAACUAAAAAAAAUUAAAAAAAAAA